rnacentral:rRNA from 1 species
UACGGGGGGGCAAGCGUUGUUCGGAAUUACUGGGCGUAAAGGGCUCGUAGGCGGCCAACUAAGUCAGACGUGAAAUCCCUCGGCUUAACCGGGGAACUGCGUCUGAUACUGGAUGGCUUGAGUGUGGGAGAGGAAUGCGGAAUUCCAGGUGUAGCGGUGAAAUGACGCAGAUAUCAGGAGGAACACCGGUGGCGAAGGCGGAUCUCUGGGCCAGUACUGACACUGAGGAGCGAAAGCGUGGGUAGCAAACAGG